AUGUCAAGAUUAGACUAUUAGAUAUUCAAGUUCAGGUUAAAGUUAGAAACUAUUAGUUUCAGUUGUCCCGGUGUAGUCACCAAUAGUUGGGUAGUAGGAGCUCACUGAGGCUUAGUAGUCUCAUCCCACGACUUUCAAUUUUUUUUUAGGUAAACAGGUUAACCGGAGCAAGGACCAGGCAGGAACUGAUGAUCGAGGUUAAGCUUGGAUUAUCGGAUUAGAAGACUAUCGUCUUCUUCUUUGUUUUUAUGUUAAUCUGUUAAGUUAGAAUUUAAUUCUCUUCCGCUGUAUUGUACCAGAUUAUCACGUUUUUCAUGUGAUAUCUUGUAAUUCAAUUAAUUUAUUUUGUAAUUUUAAUGUACUCAGAUUCAAUUAUUAAUAUCUCGACUAAAUAUUCUAGACAA
rnacentral:lncRNA from 1 species